UACUGCGAUUGAACGGACGUAAAGACAAAGCGGGCUUAUACCAAAGAUAAAUGUCACGGGAUUACGUCACACGUUUUGUAAUCGCUCACGCACGAACGCGUGUGUUGGAAAACCGAAGAAAUCGGUUCACCACUCAACUAUUGUUUCAACAAGCGGGAGGACGGGACCAGAAAGAGAGCUGUUGGUUUAAAAUUUCGUGAUACGUCUGCAGAUAAUGAAGGCGUAUCGGUUGUCCGAGACUAAGAACAACUUUCGCCAAGGGGACGGAGCGAUUAUUGUGGAAGGUCGGAAACAAACGCGAUACGUGCUCACAUUUCUCAUUCCGUUUCACCGUAACCCCGAACAAUUUUCGAGCCCCGUCGAGGAUCGAAGAAAAAGUGAAACUUUUAGGAAUCACGUUUGGCCCACGAAAAAACGAAAAUAAUUAUAAUAAUAAAAACACUCGACAAAUGCUUAUGAACGCUUUUGACGUAGUUCAGACACGAAACGAUUUUUUAAGUGUUGAAAUUUACAGAGUUUCAUUGGAUAAUUCGUCUUAUUGGUUAUUAGAUAAACUUGUUUAAGGAGGGUGGAUCACGAAAUCAAGGUAAUCAGAAUUUGAUCACAUUUGGUGAUAACAUUCUUU